UACGUAGGGUGCAAGCGUUAAUCGGAAUUACUGGGCGUAAAGCGUGCGCAGGCGGCUUUGCAAGACAGAUGUGAAAUCCCCGGGCUUAACCUGGGAACUGCAUUUGUGACUGCAUGGCUGGAGUGCGGCAGAGGGGGAUGGAAUUCCGCGUGUAGCAGUGAAAUGCGUAGAUAUCCGGAGGAACACCGGUGGCGAAGGCGGCUUCCUGGACCGACACUGACGCUGAGGCGCGAAAGCUAGGGGAGCAAACGGG
rnacentral:rRNA from 1 species